rnacentral:lncRNA from 10 species
AAAAGGCUGACGUCAUCGCACAUGUUCUGGUCAUGUCUGUGUGGGGGAGACCACGGAUUCGGUGCUUUUCGUAAGGUGUAGAAAUGAUUGCUCUGAAAGAUACGAAUUUGUUGGCUACAACUGCUUCUAAUACUUCACCUAAACCUAGAUGUUGCACCAGAAGUCUGGAUCUCCACGCAGACGUGUACACUUAGCAUCACUUUCCCGACAGCUUCAUCUUUGUGUCCAGUAGGCAACUCACAGGUGACAAACCAAAAAUAACCUCUUUUUCCUCCCGCCAACCCACUCCUCCCCUCUGCUUGCACCACCAUCACCUGGUCACUAAACCCUAGGCAUCGUCCUCUCUCCCCUCUUACCAAGUCCCAACCAUUCUAACUUCAAUAUGUCUGAACUUCAACCCUCCCCUUUCCAUCCCAACUGCGGUCGUUUUUUUUCAGGCCAUCGCCCUUUCCAGCGUGGGCGAUUCCUGCCUAGCAUUUGUCCAUGUGUGUCCCGUCCUACACGCCACACUGACCGUGAGCUUAAUCACACUCUCAAAGGAAUCUGACUAAAGAGAACUAGACACAUUUUAGCACGGACAGUUCCUGAUUAGGCCUAUACGGUGAGCUGAUGGUUACUGUCAUUAACUCAUCCGAGGAUGGUGAAGGGGACCAUUUGUUACCUCAGCCCCAUACUCCUGUCUCUGGUGGAAUCAUAAAAUGGUUCGGCAGCUUUGAAAACAUUUUGACAAUUUCUUAAAAUGCUAAACAAAGCCAGCCUUCCAUUCCUAGCUAUUUACCCAAGAGGGAAAAAAGCAUAUGUUCUUACAAAGACUUGUACACAAAUGUUCAUAGCAGCUCUAUUUGUAAUAGCCAUAAACUGGAAACAAUCCAAAUGUCUAUCAACAAGUGAAUGGAUAAACCAGUCGUGAUUGAUCCAUACGAAGGAAUAGUACUGAGCAAUAAAAAAGUAAACUAUUGAUAAAUGCAACAGCAUGGAUGAAUCUCAAAAUAAUUCUGCCAAGUGAAAGAAGCCAGAACCGUAUGAUUCCAUUUACAUAACAUUCUGGAAAAUGCAAACUAAUACAUAGUGACAGAGAGUACAUGGGCGGUUGCUAGCGGAUAGGAGUGGGGUCAGAAAGAGGCAGAAAAGAGGGAUUACAAAGAGACACGAAGUUUAGGGGGAUGAUGGAUAAUAUCUUGAUUGUGAUGAUGGUUUCACAGAUGUAUACAAUAUCAAAACUUACCAGGUUGGACACUAAGUAUGUGCGAUU